rnacentral:rRNA from 1 species
AGGCCUUCGGGUUGUAAAGUUCUUUCGUGGAGGACGAAAAGGUGGGUGCUAAUAUCGCCUGCUGUUGACGUGAAUCCAAGAAGAAGCACCGGCUAACUCCGUGCCAGCAGCCGCGGUAAUACGGGGGGUGCAAGCGUUAAUCGGAAUCACUGGGCGUAAAGGGUGCGUAGGCGGUGCAUUAGGUCUGUCGUGAAAUCCCCGGGCUCAACCUGGGAAUGGCGGUGGAAACCGGUGUACUAGAGUAUGGGAGAGGGUGGUGGAAUUCCAGGUGUAGCGGUGAAAUGCGUAGAGAUCUGGAGGAACAUCAGUGGCGAAGGCGGCCACCUGGCCCAAUACUGACGCUGAGGCACGAAAGCGUGGGGAGCAAACAGGAUUAGAUACCCUGGUAGUCCACGCCCUAAACGAUGAAUACUAGAUGUUUGGUGCCAAGCGUACUGAGUGUCGUAGCUAACGCGAUAAGUAUUCCGCCUGGGAAGUACGGCCGCAAGGUUAAAACUCAAAUGAAUUGACGGG